rnacentral:rRNA from 1 species
AUUGAACGCUGGCGGCAUGCUUUACACAUGCAAGUCGAACGGUAACAGGUUAAGCUGACGAGUGGCGAACAGGUGAGUAAUGCAUCGGAACGUGCCCGAUCGUGGGGGAUAACGCAGCGAAAGCUGCGCUAAUACCGCAUACGAUCUGAGGAUGAAAGCGGGGGACCGUAAGGCCUCGCGCGAUCGGAGCGGCCGAUGUCAGAUUAGGUAGUUGGUGGGGUAAAGGCUCACCAAGCCAACGAUCUGUAGCUGGUCUGAGAGGACGACCAGCCACACUGGGACUGAGACACGGCCCAGACUCCUACGGGAGGCAGCAGUGGGGAAUUUUGGACAAUGGACGCAAGUCUGAUCCAGCCAUGCCGCGUGCGGGAAGAAGGCUUUCGGGUUGUAAACCGCUUUUGUCAGGGAAGAAACGAGUGUCUCUAAUACAGAUGCUUAAUGACGGUACCUGAAGAAUAAGCACCGGCUAACUACGUGCCAGCCGCAGCCGCCG